UACGUAGGCAGCAAGCGUUGUUCGGAAUUACUGGGCGUAAAGAGUGUGUAGGCGGUGCUCUAAGUUCGGUGUGAAAUCUCCCGGCUCAACUUGGAGGGUGCGCCGAAAACUGGAGUGCUGGAGCGCGGGAGAGGAAAGCGGAAUUCCUGGUGUAGCGGUGAAAUGCGUAGAUAUCAGGAGGAACACCGGCGGUGUAGACGGCUUUCUGGACCGUAGCUGACGCUGAGACACGAAAGCGUGGGUAGCAAACAGG
rnacentral:rRNA from 1 species